rnacentral:misc_RNA from 1 species
GGAGCCACACCUUCCCGUGGAGACCUUGCACAUUUCCAUUAACGUCUUUGGCUUUGGCUUUGGCUUCUCUUUUACUAGAUGAAAAUGGUAAUGGAUGUGUAAUGCAAGGGAUCUAAACUCAUCACCUACCACUGAUAACUCCAUCCCUUCUUCUCAUAUCUCUUCCCCACUACUCCACAAGAAGGGAAGAAAAAAGAUCACUCCUUUCACCACCUUUUUCUUCACAAUUUCCAUGUCCAUCAUCUUCUUCUCUCUUCCGCAGCCAACAUCAACAAGGACAAUUGCCUCAACAACAAUAAAGACCUUUUCUUCUUGUCAUUUUUGGCUUUGGGUACACAGAAAGCUCCACCCCAUCUUAGAUUCACGCUCACAUUUGAGCCUAUUGGAAAAGAAAUCUGCUAUCUUUGGCUAUAUAGCUUUAAUUUUUGACAGCUCGGUCGAUCUGGGUCUCCUCCGACAUGGGUAGCUUCUGACAUUGGUUUUCUGGGGUUUUCUAGUCUGAGAUCUGGAUUCUCAGAAGCGGGUAUGGUUAAGAGGCCUCAAAGAUCUAGACUUUGCAGGUUGCUUUGGUGAAGUUCACUGUAGUGAGGCUUUUGGACUUCCAAAAACCCAAAAUGGCCAAUGAUCUUAACACAGAACUUUCAAAGAAAACUGCCAUUUUGGGUCUGAAGGUUUGGGAACUAAUUGGGAUUUCUGUGGCAUUAUUUAUCAUUAUUAUACUAUCUGUAUUGUCAUUUUGUUUAACUUCGCGGAAGAAGUCAAGAAGAGAUGGAAACAAGUUUCCCCUUAGCCAAAUCCCCACUGUUUCCAAGGAAAUUAAGGAAGUUCGAGUGGAACAAGUAUCAGCAAAUGAAUUUGUACCUCGUGACGGGAUUCUCCUUACAAUUCAUGAUAAGACCAGUGACAAAGAAUCAGACAAGGUCAUGGUCCAUCUGGGUAUGGGGAAAACAAAAAAUGGAGACCAUAGCAGUCAAUCAGGGUCUUUUCAUCAUUUAGAUAAAGAUUGUGGAUCACAAUCUGGCGAAGAAGGGAGUUCAGGCACAGUAACGGUAUACAAGCCUUCUUCUUCAUAUCCUAUUACUGCUCCUUCUCCUCUAAGUGGCCUGCCAGAGUUCUCGCACUUGGGUUGGGGUCACUGGUUCACAUUGAGGGAUCUUGAGCUGGCAACAAAACGGUUUUCGAAGGACAAUGUCCUUGGGGAGGGUGGAUAUGGAGUUGUUUAUCAGGGACAAUUGAUCAAUGGCACUCCAGUGGCGGUGAAAAAGAUUCUGAAUAAUGUGGGCCAAGCGGAAAAAGAGUUUAGAGUGGAAGUUGAAGCCAUUGGUCACGUGCGCCACAAGAAUUUGGUUCGCCUUCUGGGAUAUUGCAUAGAAGGAAUUCACAGAAUGUUGGUUUAUGAAUAUGUCAACAAUGGAAAUUUGGAACAAUGGCUUCAUGGAGCUAUGCGUCAGCAUGGAUAUCUUACUUGGGAAGCCCGCAUGAAGGUUCUCCUUGGCACAGCUAAGGCCCUUGCCUAUUUGCAUGAGGCCAUUGAGCCAAAAGUAGUGCAUCGAGACAUUAAAUCAAGCAAUAUAUUAAUUGAUGAUGACUUUAAUGCCAAGGUUUCUGAUUUUGGCUUGGCCAAGUUGCUUGGAGCUGGUAAAAGCCAUGUCACUACUCGAGUUAUGGGAACCUUUGGGUAAGCAAUAUUGUUUUCCCUCCAAAUUCAUGACAGUGCCUACUGCCUAGAUAGAUGAUGCACCAGUCUAUUGCUCUUUGUUCACUGUAUUUGUUAUUCUUUGAUGGUAGAGGAAUAAUCACAUUUAAAAUGCAUCCCACUCUUCUUUUUUCUCACAAAUGAUAUCUUGCAGAUACGUGGCCCCUGAAUACAUGAUAUGCAUCAGUCUAUUGCUCUUUGUUCACUUUAUUUCUUAUUCUUUGAUAGUAGAGGAAUAAUCACAUUUGAAAUGCAUCCCAUUCAUCUUUUUUCUCACAAAUAAUGUCUUGCAGAUAUGUAGCCCCCGAAUACGCAAAUACUGGUCUUUUGAAUGAAAAGAGUGAUGUUUAUAGCUUUGGUGUUUUGCUUUUGGAAGCUAUUACUGGAAGAGAUCCUGUAGACUAUGGUCGUCCUGCCCAUGAGGUAAAUCUUGUUGAUUGGCUGAAAAUGAUGGUUGGAAGCAGGCGGUCUGAAGAAGUUGUAGAUCCAAACAUAGAGGUAAAGCCAUCAACACGAGCUCUCAAGCGAGCGCUCUUGACUGCUUUGAGAUGUGUUGAUCCUGAUUAUGAAAAAAGACCUAAAAUGGGCCAAGUUGUAAGAAUGCUUGAAUCCGAAGAGUAUCCUAUUCCGAGAGAGGUUAGUUUUUUUCUUCAAUCUUGUCGCACAAAGAUGCAUCAGAUACAUUUUAACUUCAUUUAUGGAGGUAAAAAUAGAGUGAAAUUUGUGUAUGACUCGGCUCCAUUCUUCGUUUUUCACUGCAUAGUUUAUGGUGAUGCAACAUACGGUGAAAAUAUGAUUCUUGAUGAUGCUAGGAACUUUCCACUUUCCCAUGAGAACAUUAAAUUUAGUUGUCAAUUACACAACUUUGAUUUACAAAAAAGCUAGAUGGAUGACUUUUGACUGAAUUCUAUGUUGAGCUUAAUUUUUCAGGAUCGCAGACAUCGAAGAACACAAAGAGACAGCAUGGAGAUUGAAUCUCAGAAAGAGAAUUCUGACACUGAUCACAGCGAUUAUCCAGGAUCAAGAUCAGAGAGCAGGCGGACGUAAUGGCUUUUAGUAGGAUUUGAGGGGGGACGAGGGAGAUAAUUCUUACAAUUUUUUUUUCGACUGUUUAAAUUCUUGGGUUGCCUCCAUACAAGCUGUUGAUAUCUAGGACAUGGGAUGGGAUAGAAGAGAUAUCUUUUUUUUUUUUUUUGCCCGGAUU